UAUACAAAGAAGAGUUUGAUCCUGGCUCAGGAUGAACGCUAGCGGCAGGCUUAACACAUGCAAGUCGAGGGGCAGCGCGGGAGUGGCAACACUUCUGGCGGCGACCGGCGGAAGGGUGCGUAACACGUGAGCAACCUGCCCGCAUCCGGGCAAUAACCGGCGGAAACGCCGACUAAUGGCCCGUAACACGGUGGUUCGCAUGGACCGCUGUUGAAAGAUUCGUCGGAUGCGGAUGGGCAUGUCUAGGGGUUCUGAGAGGAAGGUCCCCCACACUGGAACUGAGACACGGUCCAGACUCCUACGGGAGGCAGCAGUGAGGAAUAUUGGUCAAUGGGCGGAAGCCUGAACCAGCCAUGCCGCGUGAAGGAAUAAGGCCCUACGGGUCGUAAACUUCUUUUGUGGCGGAGCAAUAAGGAUCACGUGUGGUCCGAUGAGAUUACGUCACGAAUAAGCAUCGGCUAACUCCGUGCCAGCAGCCGCGGUAAUACGGAGGAUGCAAGCGUUAUCCGGAUUUAUUGGGUUUAAAGGGUGCGUAGGCUGUCCGACAAGUCAGGGGUGAAAGGCCGGUGCUUAACGCCGGGAAUGCCCUUGAUACUGCCGGGCUGGAAUGCGGAUGCCGUGGGAGGAAUGAGUAGUGUAGCGGUGAAAUGCAUAGAUAUUACUCAGAACACCGAUUGCGAAGGCAUCUCACGAAUCCGCUAUUGACGCUGAGGCACGAAAGCGUGGGGAGCGAACAGGAUUAGAUACCCUGGUAGUCCACGCAGUAAACGAUGAUGACUAACCGUCGGCGAUACACUGUCGCGUUCGCAAGAAUGAAACUCAAAGGAAUUGACGGGGGCCCGCACAAGCGGAGGAACAUGUGGUUUAAUUCGAUGAUACGCGAGGAACCUUACCCGGGCUCGAACGGCCGUUGAACGACCCAGAGAUGGGGAGGCCCCUUCGGGGGCGGCGGUCGAGGUGCUGCAUGGUUGUCGUCAGCUCGUGUCGUGAGAUGUUGGCUUAAGUGCCAUAACGAGCGCAACCCCUUUCGACAGUUACCAACAGGUUAGGCUGGGGACUUUGUCGAUACUGCCACCGCAAGGUGAGAGGAAGGCGGGGAUGACGUCAAAUCAGCACGGCCCUUACGUCCGGGGCGACACACGUGUUACAAUGGCGGCUACAGAGGGAAGCCACCCGGCGACGGGGAGCGGAUCUCGAAAAGCCGUCUCAGUUCGGAUCGGAUGAAGCUGGAUUCGCUAGUAAUCGCGCAUCAGCCAUGGCGCGGUGAAUACGUUCCCGGGCCUUGUACACACCGCCCGUCAAGCCAUGAAAGCCGGGGGUGCCUGAAGUCCGUGACCGGAAGGAGCGGCCUAGGGCAAAACUGGUAAUUGGGGCUAAGUCGUAACAAGGUAGCCGUACCGGAAGGUGUGGCUGGAACACCUCCUUU
rnacentral:rRNA from 1 species